CUAUGCGCCUUGCCAGCCCGCUCAGGUGUGCCAGCCGCCGCGGUAAUACGUAGGGGCAAGCGUUAUCCGGAUUCACUGGGUGUAAAGGGAGCGCAGGCGGUACGGCGAGUCUGAUGUGAAAACCCGGGGCCCAACCCCGGGACCGCACCGGAUACUGUCGGACUCGAGUGCCGGAGGGGCAGGCGGAAUUCCUGGUGUAGCGGUGAAAUGCGCAGAUAUCAGGAGGAACACCGGUGGCGAAGGCGGCCUGCUGGACGGUAACUGACGCUGAGGCUCGAAAGCGUGGGAGCGAACAGG
rnacentral:rRNA from 1 species